UCUCAGUUUACCCUCUUUAUUCAAAAUGGUGGCUCUGCAGUAAGUAGGCUCUGCUGGUUUUGUAUAUGUUCAUAGUGAUUAAGAGUGCUGGAGGUGAUUCCCGUUUUUAGAGACUACAAUACUUCCCUAAGAUAGAGAACUAAGGCACAUUGAACUUUGGCAAACAAUUCAAAUUUCAUACAAGAAGCAUGCAGAAGAAUCAGGAAUUGAAUCCUCCUGAGGCCAGUCUGAUACCUUAACCAGGAGACCAUUCUUCCUGUACUCACUGUGGCAGCUGACUGUUUUCAGAACAUAUUAAACACUGACUUCCAACUGAGAGAGAAAAGCAGAGACAGUGAGGAGAGAGAAGGCAAAAAUCACUGUAGAGAAAUAAAGAAGAAUAUAAAAAAAGGAAGAGUAGCAGACAAGGGAAUAAGGAAAUGGAAAAAG